AGUGAACGCUGGCGGCGUGCCUAAUACAUGCAAGUCGAACGGAGUGGCGCACGGGGGAGUAAUAUAUAGCUAAUCUGCCCCUUGCUGGGGGACAACAGUUAGAAAUGACUGCUAAUACUCCAUAGCAAGUGAGGAGACUAUAUCGUAUCAGCUAGUCGGGGGGGUAACGGCCUACAGAGGCUAUGACGCGUAACUGGUCUGAGAGGAUGAUCAGUCACAUUGGAACUGAGACACGGUUGAAACUACUACGGGAGGGAGCAGUAGGGAAGAUUGCGCAAUGGGGGAAACCCUGACAGAGCAACGCGGUGUGGAGGAUGACACUUUUCGGAGCGUAAACUCCUUUUGUUAGGGAUGCGGUACCUAAAGAAUAAGCACCGGCUAACUCCGUGCCAGCCGCCGCGGUAAUAC
rnacentral:rRNA from 1 species